ACAAGCAGCGGAGCGUGUGGUUUAAUUCGAUGUUACACGAAGAACCUUACCAGGUUUGACAUGCAAGUGGUAGGAAGCCGAAAGGUGACCGACCCUUCGGGGAGCUUGCACAGGUGCUGCAUGGCUGUCGUCAGCUCGUGUCGUGAGAUGUUCGGUUAAGUCCGCUAACGAGCGCAACCCUCGCUGUGUGUUAUAUGUGUCACACGGGACUGCCGGUCUUAAGCCGGAGGAAGGUGGGGAUGAUGUCAAGUCAGCAUGGUCUUUAUGUCCUGGGCUACACACACGCUACAAUGGCCAACACAAUAGGUUGCUAAGCCGCGAGGUGGAGCCAAUCCUCAAAGUUGGUCUCAGUUCAGAUUGCAGGCUGCAACCCGCCUGCAUGAAGAUGGAGUUGCUAGUAACCGCAGGUCAGCUAUACUGCGGUGAAUACGUUCCCGGGGCUU
rnacentral:rRNA from 1 species